CAGCAGCCGCGGGAAUACGAAGGGUGCAAGCGUUACUCGGAAUUACUGGGCGUAAAGCGUGCGUAGGUGGUGGUUUAAGUCCGUUGUGAAAGCCCUGGGCUCAACCUGGGAAUUGCAGUGGAUACUGGGUCACUAGAGUGUGGUAGAGGAUAGUGGAAUUUCCGGUGUAGCAGUGAAAUGCGUAGAGAUCGGAAGGAACAUCUGUGGCGAAGGCGACUAUCUGGGCCAACACUGACACUGAGGCACGAAAGCAUGGGGAGCAAACAGGAUUAGAUACCCCCGUAGUCCCUGUCUCUUAUAC
rnacentral:rRNA from 1 species